UUUACCCAGACUGGAGAUUACGAGAUACUGGAUUGUUGUCCCGAGAUCUAUUUGCUGAACCCACAAUUCCACACUGUCAUACUUUGUUCCAGCAAUAAAGAAACCUGAUCCAAGUGGUUGUCCGUGGUGAUG